rnacentral:tRNA from 1 species
GGGGAUUUAGCUCAGUGGUAGAGCGCUUGCCUAGCAAGUACAAGGCCCUGGGUUCGUUCCCCAGCUCCG